rnacentral:rRNA from 1 species
AUGGAUUUCCGAUCGAGGCGUCGCGUCAGGCGCUCGCCGCCGCCGCCGCCGCGUGGUCCGGACGGAGAUGACCUCAUCAGCGCGCUCCCCGACGACAUGCUCCUCCAGAUCCUCGUGCGUCUGCGCUGUGCCCGCGCCGCCGCGCGAACCGGCGUCCUCUCACGCCGGUGGCGCGGCCUCUGGGCCCGCCUCCCCGGUCUCACCUUCCGCGAUGUCCCGGCCGGCGUGGUCAAAGCGGCGCUCGCCCGUGUCCCUCGCCAUACAUCCGUGUCCCUUCUUGACGUCUGUCUCACAAGGAGUGUGUUGGAGGCGUCGCGCAAGCUCGACGACGCCCGCGCAAGGUCGCUGUUGCGCAUCGCCGAGCGGCUCUCACCGGAGGAGCUGAUCUUCAUCCUUCCACGGGAAACCGUGUUUAAGUCAGGCCCUCCCGUCGGCAUUGUCAUGCCUUGCUUCCGCCGCGCCACCUCCAUCGAGCUGGACACGGGUUUCCUCCGCAUCAAGCCGCCGCGGGCGGGCUGCGAAUUCCCUGCACUAGAGAGGUUGUCUCUCUCCGGAAACAUCGGUGACAUCGGCGCCUUUCUCAACCGCUGCCCACGGUUGCGCAUGCUCGGGGUCAUCUUCCGUGAGUGCGUGCUAGCUAGCAUAGAAAAGUAA